CUACGUCGUCUUCAUCUGCAUCUCCUCCGCUCCCACCUCCGCCUCCACGUCGGUCUCCUUCGGCACCGUCGACGCGUUGACGUAGGGCUUGAAGGAGAACCGGUUCCCGUUCUUGAGAUUGUAGUAGGCUUUGAAGAUCGAGAGCUCGCCGGCGUAUCCAUCAAUCCCCCUUCUCUUCUUCCCUCUUUCUCUCGCCCUCUGCAACUCAACAGGAUCAGAGUCCAAAUCAGAGCAGCAAGAAUUGAGUCCACUGGGGUCUCUUCAGGCUUCAGAGCUCCCCAUUUUGAGCUUCCAGAGCCUUUGACAGGCAAAGUAUGGACACAGGAUGAGUUCGAGCCUUAUCCCGCUCUGUUGGUAAAAUGCUUAUGCAUUUAUUUGGUUGAAAUCGGGGCUCGAUUUUUUUUGCAUUGGCUGUGUUGUUUGGAUUGUUCUACUUCUUUGUGAUUUCGUGCGCAUUCAUUUGAGCUGGUAGAUUGCACGUCUAGCGCUUCUCAGUUCAGGCAUUUCUAUGUCCAGUUAUUUUUGUAAGAACCGAUUAAUUCUUGAGUUCAGGAGAACUGUUAUUCGUGCGCAUCAUAUCUGCAACUGUUCACUCUUUUGAACGGUGACAGAUAAUUGACAGAAAUUAUGUCGUCGCUCCUUCAUCCUACAUAUUCUAGAUUCAAAAACUGAGUGAUGUCCAAAAUAUUAUUGAUGUAAGGUUCUCUGUUAGUCGCAAUGUGAUGCUCUGGUUUUGUCCCAAUUUUAACUAAGUAGAAUAUAGUUUUACUAUUUAUAUUCCUUGUGCUUGUCGAGAUACCCUUCUUUAAUUAGCUUAAUUUGGAAUUAUUUCACUUCACAUUAAAUAAUCACCGGGGAUCAGUCCUACAAAGGAUAUAACCUUGUAAUUCGCAAUAUAAUUUCCUUCUUGUUGGUUGCAAUUCUCUUACUAGGAAUUGGUCAACCAGACAAAAAAUUAUCUGAUGUUAUUACUAACAAUGCAGUUAUUAUACCCUUUUUGCUUUAGAUUUGUUCCGUAACCACCAAUUAGCUGCUGUAAAUAGAUUCCAGAUUGUAUCCAGCAGUGUAAAAGGGCAGCACACGCUUUGGGUACGAGUUAUUUUGCAGAGCGAAGAAGUUCAUCUUUCCCUCGACUUAGAUUGUUGCUUCUUUGGUUUUAGAUUUUCCUGAUAGAAAUUAUCAUGCUUAAAGAGGAACUGGUUAAACAUUUCUAUCAACUUCACUAUAUUAUUAAUUCAAGAUAAGUCCUAGAUUGAACUCUGGCAUGACGCUUCCUCAAUGGCUAGUGAAUGACCAUGUACUAAAAUCUUCUGCGUGCACCACUUUCUCAAUAUCACCAGGAGCAAUAUGAAUAUUUUCUCUUUUAAACCUUUUUCCAGGCUGUUGAAGAUUCUCUGAAGAGUCUGAAUUUAUUUCAUGGUGGUGUCGCUGAUAAACAAGUAGGGCAAUACAGUGGCGAUAUGAAGCGGAGACUAAGUGUUGCCAUUGCUUUGAUUGGUGAUCCUAAAGUUGUCUACUUGGAUGAGCCCAGCACAAGACUAGAUCCAACAUCACGAACCCACUUGUGGAAUGUUGUGAAGUGCGCUAAAAAACACAGGGCAAUAGUUCUUACCAGUUAAGUUUUGUAUGGCAAUUUUUUUCACACGAAAUAGGAGGUUUUAGUUCUUCAUUAUUUCAUUAUUAGGAUUAACAAGACCAUUUAGGAGGUUUCAAGAAGAAAUGUGUAGCUUAACUUGACAUCUACCUCAUCAAUGUUUGGACUGCUAAAGUUCUUUGUUCCGGUUAAUUUCACUUAAGCCCCAGAACUUUAAAAGGUUUUGCACAUAAUUCCCCUUGAACUUUGUUCAUUCAGCUUAACUCCUGUAAACUGUGGGGUGUAUCAUGUUGAUGGAAAUUUUCAGGAUCCAUGUUUUGUUAUGUGGUUGAAGUUGUUUGCAAACUGGUAAUUUACGUAGUUCUUGUAGAAGGAUUGGCAACACAUUUGUCAGUUUCAACCUUCUUUCCUUUCUUGAAAGUAUAAGAAUUUAUGUUUGAGUUAUUGUUCAUGUGCACCUAUAGUUCCAGAUGUGGACCAGACAGAUGUAUGACACUUUGAGUUGCACUGUCAGUUAAUUACUUUUGGCAAGGUUUUCUAUACAAAGAGCAAGCCAAAUUGUAAUGCUUGCCCAAUGAGAGGAGAGUGCAAACACUUUGCAAGUGCAUUUUCCAGUGCAAUGCUUUCUCUUCCAGGACCAGAUGAGAAAUGUUUGGUGAGCUCAACAAUUCUUGUUUUCUCCACAAGAAUUGAUGGAUCAGUUCCCAUCCCAAUGCCCUUACCUCAACUUGAAGGGAGCACGCACAUAAGGGAAAAAAACUGCUCCUAAAAUCUGUGAGCCUAUUGUUGAGGAACCUGGGACGCCUGAGCCUGAGCAUUGAGGAACCUUAUUUUUUUGUUAUUGCUCACUUUGUAACUCAAUGUUUUUGAUGUGUUGUAUAAUGAUGGAUAUAUUUUUUU